GAGCAGGUCACAGAGACGUCCGACUGGGCAGCAACGGAGUCCGAUUGAAUGUCUACGGGCCGCGUGGAUGAGGAAGGAGAGAAGUUCCGCGUCCUGAAUGGAGACACCGCUGGAGAACCUGAUUCUUCUUCUACUGUUGACAUUUCUGCAGUUGCUUCUGGUUGCUCUCCCUCCUCUUCUCAUCGAUGGGACUGCUGCACUGAGGACGUAAAUGAUGGAGAUGACACCGGAAGCAAUCAGACAAUGUGCACGAGGUCUCACGAGGAACUCUCACCGUGUCUUCCAAAGUAACCACGGACACGUUACUGCUCGCCGUCACAUUGUCCUCCCCGUUGCACGGGGUGGAACCGCCAACAAUCUGUCCCUGGACUGCGGUGCCCAGAAGUGAGCCGAGAACCUCCACCAUCAUACCUGCGAGGACCACAGAGAGGUUUCAGCCACCGCCGCAGUGACAGCACAUCACCGAGGAGGAAGUGAAGGCGGCGGUGACAGCAGCAGUCUGGAGCUAACGCUACGUGUGUUUGGACAGGUACAGAUCUUUGGUAAGUGAAAACUGCACACAGGUAAACGUCCGUCCCUGCCGAUCAUACGCUCCUUAUGUUUUUUAUAGGUCGUCACAAUGUGCCCUACGUCCCUGGGGGGCAAUCACACUUGUGUGAAUUAUUCACGUUGCUCAUGUGGGAGGUUUCUCUCCUCAUGCCAGUCCACUGCUCCCAUUUUAAGUAUUUUUUAUGAGAUACCAGAAGAAGGUCACAGGUCAGUAUGGGAGGGGUGCCCUGUGUCAUCAAGGUCGUGGGGAAAGGGAGAACACCCCCUUGUUGAAGACAUGCUACAGACAUUAGCCCCCCCCACCAUAAAAACACUCAAACACUCAAAUACCGCUACAGCCAUUGUGUCCGGUGGUCUUCAGGCAGCUGAGAGGUUGUUGUAGAAGAGCAUGAGGACCCCACCGGGGGGAAUCCCGGCCCCAGCCCCCAAUUGUUUCUGCCCCGCCUUCUUUACCAUCCACACAUAUGCUCCUGGGACAAUAAAAGGACAAAGGCGGCCACUUGAAGUUAAGUUGGGAGAUGACUGGGAGAACGGGGUAUUGUUGGUGUUAAGCAUUGUUGCCUCAGCAAAUGUUCCAAGUUUUAAUAAAGAAACAGAAGAGACAGGAGAAGGGAGGGGAGGGGCUGGGGGGUCUCAUUUGAAUUUUAUGGGUUUAGUUUUCUUUCUUUUUUUCCCCAUUGGCUGAGAUAAAAUAUGACCAAUGAAGCAGAUUGAAGGUUGGCUCUGGAUUGUAACAUUUAAAUGUAUGCAGUAAAAAUCCCAUCUGUGAGGCUUCACGUCUCAGUUUACAUUUUUUAUUACAAUUAACAACAUGUUUCAUUGUUAGUAUUU